AAGGGGGCACACCUUAGCUCAGGAUCUGCCUUUCCUGGUACCCUGGGGCUUUGGUUCUUUGUUGUCGUCUCCGCUGGGCUUCUCCUUUUCAUUUCAGACGCCACUUCGCUCUCUUUAGAGGGUCGGCUGACUGGCAGCCCUGUCGUGGCAAAGUCUGAGGGACAGUGACUUUCCCGAGGCAGCGAUCCCGCUGGGAGCGGGAGGCUGCCACCGUAAGCUACCGCUGACUUCCCUAACCCACUACACCCUCCGAGAAAGGCCGGAACUGAGGAAGAACGCCUUCCCACCCCUGCCAACCUACCAAACUUAAUCAGCGAUCAUCUCCCCCCCCCCCCCCCGCUCCGCAGAGACGGUGCCGAGGUAGGAUCAUGAAGGAAGAGGUGAAGGGCAUUCCUGUAAGAGUGGCACUGCGAUGUCGCCCUCUGGUCCCCAAAGAGAUUAAUGAGGGCUGCCAGAUGUGCCUUUCCUUCGUACCCGAGGAACCUCAGGUGGUGGUUGGUACUGACAAAUCCUUUACCUACGAUUUUGUGUUUGACCCUUCUACUGAACAGGAGGAAGUAUUCAAUACAGCAGUAGCACCACUCAUAAAAGGCGUAUUUAAAGGAUACAAUGCAACCGUCCUGGCCUAUGGGCAAACUGGCUCUGGAAAAACCUAUUCGAUGGGAGGUGCAUAUACUGCAGAGCAAGAAAAUGAACCAACAGUUGGGGUCAUUCCUAGAGUAAUACAGCUGCUCUUCCAAGAAAUUGAUAAAAAGAGUGACUUCGAAUUUACUCUGAAAGUAUCAUACUUGGAGAUUUACAAUGAAGAAAUCUUGGAUCUUCUGUGCCCAUCUCGUGAGAAAGCCCCUCAAAUAAAUAUACGGGAGGAUCCUAAGGAAGGCAUAAAGAUUGUGGGACUCACUGAGAAGACUGUUUUAGUCGCCCUGGAUACUGUUUCCUGUUUGGAGCAGGGCAACAACUGUAGGACUGUGGCCUCCACAGCUAUGAACUCCCAGUCAUCCCGAUCUCAUGCUAUCUUUACAAUCUCCAUAGAGCAAAGAAAGAAAAGUGACAAGAAUAGCAGCUUUCGCUCCAAGCUGCAUCUUGUAGACCUUGCUGGAUCAGAAAGACAGAAGAAAACCAAGGCCGAAGGGGAUCGUCUAAAAGAGGGUAUUAAUAUUAACCGAGGCCUCCUAUGCUUGGGAAAUGUAAUCAGUGCUCUUGGAGAUGACAAAAAGGGUGGCUUUGUGCCCUACAGAGAUUCCAAGUUGACUCGACUGCUUCAAGAUUCUCUAGGAGGUAAUAGCCACACUCUUAUGAUAGCCUGUGUGAGUCCUGCUGACUCCAAUCUAGAGGAAACAUUAAAUACUCUUCGCUAUGCUGACAGAGCAAGAAAAAUCAAGAACAAACCUGUUGUUAAUAUUGAUCCCCAGAGAGCUGAACUUAAUCAUCUGAAGCAACAGGUACAACAGCUACAGGUCUUGUUGCUGCAAGCCCAUGGAGGUACCCUGCCUGGAUCUAUAAAUGUGGAACCAUCAGAGAAUCUACAAUCCCUAAUGGAGAAGAAUCAGUCACUGGUAGAGGAGAAUGAAAAAUUAAGUCGUGGUCUAAGUGAGGCUGCUGGUCAGACAGCCCAGAUGUUGGAGAGGAUCAUUUUGACAGAACAAGCGAAUGAAAAAAUGAACGCCAAGCUAGAAGAGCUCAGGAAGCAUGCAGCCUGCAAAGUGGAUCUUCAAAAGCUAGUGGAGACUUUGGAAGACCAAGAAUUAAAAGAAAAUGUAGAGAUGAUUCGUAACCUGCAGCAAGUGAUUACCCAGCUAUCGGAUGAAACUGUUGCUUGUAUGGCUGCAGCUAUUGAUACUGCAGUGGAACCAGAAGCGCAAGUGGAAAUCAGUCCAGGGAGCAGCAGGUCUUCUGAUGGUUUCACCACUCAGCAUGCUCUACGUCAAGCUCAGAUGUCUAAGGAGCUGGUUGAGUUGAAUAAAGCCCUUGCACUGAAAGAGGCCCUAGCCAAGAAAAUGACUCAGAAUGACAGCCAACUACAGCCUAUCGAGUUCCAGUACCAGGAUAACAUAAAAAACCUAGAAUUGGAAGUCAUCAAUCUGCAAAAGGAAAAAGAAGAAUUGGUUCUUGAACUUCAGACAGCAAAGAAGGAUGUCAACCAUGCCAAGUUGAGUGAGCGCCGCCGGAAACGUCUCCAGGAGCUAGAGGGUCAAAUAGCUGAUCUGAAGAAGAAACUGAAUGAGCAGUCUAAACUUCUGAAGCUGAAAGAAUCCACAGAGCAUACCGUCUCCAAACUGAACCAGGAAAUACGGGUGAUGAAAAACCAGCGGGUACAGUUAAUGCGUCAGAUGAAAGAGGAUGCUGAGAGGUUCAGACAGUGGAAGCAACAAAAAGACAAAGAAGUAAUCCAAUUAAAAGAACGGGACCGUAAGAGGCAAUAUGAACUGCUCAAACUUGAAAGAUGCUUCCAGAAACAGUCUAGUGUGCUCAGACGUAAAACUGAAGAGGCAGCAGCUGCCAACAAGCGUCUCAAGGAUGCUCUCCAAAAACAACGAGAGGUCGCAGAAAAGCGGAAGGAGACUCAGAGCCGUGGAAUGGAAGGCACUACAGCUCGAGUGAAGAGUUGGCUUGGAAAUGAAAUUGAGGUUAUGGUCAGUACUGAGGAAGCCAAGCGCCAUCUGAAUGACCUUCUUGAAGACAGAAAGAUCCUGGCUCAGGAUGUGGCUCAACUCAAAGAAAAAGUGGAAUCUGGGGAGAAUCCACCUCCUAAACUCCGCAGGCGUACAUUCUCACUUGCUGAACUGCGUGGUCAAGUUUCUGAGUCAGAGGAUUCCAUUACAAAGCAGAUUGAAAGCCUAGAGACUGAAAUGGAACUCAGGAGUGCUCAGAUUGCUGACCUACAGCAGAAGCUGCUGGAUGCAGAAAGUGAAGACAGGCCAAAACACCGCUGGGAGAAUAUUGCUACCAUUCUGGAAGCCAAGUGUGCCCUGAAAUACUUAAUUGGAGAGCUGGUCUCCUCCAAAAUACAGGUCAGCAAGCUUGAAAGCAGCCUGAAACAGAACAAGGCCAGCUGUGCUGACAUGCAGAAGAUGCUGUUUGAGGAACGAAAUCAUUUUGCUGAAAUAGAGACAGAGUUACAGGCAGAGCUGGUGAGAGUGGAGCAACAGCACCAAGAGAAGGUGCUAUACCUCCUCAGCCAGCUGCAGCAAAGCCAAAUGGCAGAGAAGCAGCUAGAGGAGUCCGUCAGCGAAAAGGAACAACAGCUGCUGAGCAUCCUGAAGUGUCAGGAUGAAGAACUUGAGAAGAUGCAGGAAGUAUGUGAGCAAAAUCAGCAACUUCUCCGAGAGAACAAAAUCAUGAAGCAGAAAUUGAACCUCCUCCAAGUAGCCAGCAGACAGAAAUCUCAUCUUCCUAAGGAUACCCUUCUAUCUCCAGACUCUUCUUUCGAAUAUAUCCCACCUAAGCCCAAACCUCCCCGGUUUAAAGAAAAGUUCCUGGAGCAAAGCAUGAACAUCGAAGAUAUAAGAUAUUGUUCAGAAUAUUCUGUGAAUGAGCCUGAGGACAGUGAUGGUGAUGGUGGUGAUGGGGAUGAUGAGGAAUGGAAGCCAACAAAAUUAGUUAAGAUGUCCAAGAAGAACAUCCAAGGGCUGGAUCUGAGACCCACGAGAGGGAAAUGACCUUGCCCAGGGACAUAAAACAAAGUGACAGUCAGGACUUGAAAUCGAAUGUUCUGACUCCAAGUCCAGUUUGUUUCUACCACAUCAUGGUCAUAUCAGUAAAAAUUGUAGCCCAGAAGCUAAGUGGGAGCUUUAAGAUUGAACACACCAAAGUUAAGGCUAGUUAGAAACAAUCUGACUUUGAGGCAUGCUCUAUUUACUUACACAAUGAUAAUCCUACGGAUUUAUCAAACCUAGGUGUUCUAUGUUGAAACAUUAACUUCCCAGGCAUUACAGUUCAUCACUACCCCAACUGUGGCCUGCAGCCACAUUCCACUUAAAGAGAACAGCUCACAAAUUACCCUAGCUGGAUUCCUGGAAGGUUAUUCGAUUUCAUUAGCUGAUAGUGCACCACAUGGGGAACUGAGCCUUGUAAAGCUACAACACCAGAGAGAAGCAACUCAUGAGGACUAGACAGCCGUGGUGGCCUUAAGUCAUUUGGAAAGUCAUCAGGAAUGCAACAUACCAUGUGCUCUUAGUGGGACUAAGAGCUCAUCCUUAGCCUCAGAGAGCUUAUAAUCUAAUGGGAAAACAAGCCAAAGAAAUAGGAACACAUCACAGGACCUCAGCAUACUCAUCUCAGGGAGAUGGACUGAGGGGCUUUUAAGAGUGACUGUAAAGCCAAACCGAAUAGAUAUAGUUUAUGAACAUGCCAGAAAGGGAUGACUCUUGCUUCAUUAUAAGACAGAAAGGGAAAUACAGUCUUGGGAGCACCUGGGAAGCCAUUUUCUGGCACAAUGAAUAGCAUAUCGUAAAGACUUGAUAGUAGAGGUAGUAGCGGGACAUAGAGCUGGGACACUGAGAGAAGAUGGGGCAGAACAUGUCUGACUUUGAUUCACUUACUCAGCAAACAUUUAUGCUCUCUACUGUGGUUGAAGUGGUAAGCAUGAGCUGAUUGUUGAUGAAAAGGUCAGCCAAGUACUAGGAAGCACAGGUGAGAAGUACACACAGAAACAAAUGGUAGAGGACCUAAAACUCUGGGGAAGGAGUUUCCAAAUGGCAAGCAAAUAUGGGUAUACUUGUCCUUGAGGAAAGCUUAUCACACACACACACACACACAAGCAUAGAUAUAAUAGCACUGUUGCUGUAAGCUUAAAAAGGAAAUAUAGAAGUAUAGCCAAAAAUGCAAGUAAGUGAUAUUUGCUAUCAAUGAUAAAUCCUAUCUCUAAAACACUGAGAGAUGAUUAUUUUCUAGGCUUUUUCCCUGAUUUUAUAACUUGAGAAUAUAACUGGGCUUUAAGGGGAGCAAGUUGGCAUACAAUCUAGUUUCUCCCUUUUGGAGGCCUCGAAGUACAUGGACUGCUCUUUGAUCAGACUGCUUGUAGACACAUCAGCUGUAGACCUUGAUGCUUUGCAUGAAGGCCAUCCUGAUUAUUAUUGUUUCAACCCAGCUGAAGCGGGCUGGUAUGAAUCACUAGGUAUCUGCAAAGGAGACUGCAGCAGGUACCAAAAUGAUGACUUGUCCAAAGCUAAUGCUGAAAAAACUAGGUUUCCUCAUUCAGCUAUAUUUCCUAUCUGUACUAAGGAGAUGCCGAAGGAUAGGCCAUGUGCUGUAGUAAAGAAGUGAUAGCUUAGAAGCCAGGUAAACAUGAGUUGUAGCCUUGACUUUGCCACUGUUUAGUUGGAUAGCCUUAAGCAAGUCACUUAAUCUCUCUGAGCCUCAGAUUCCUUAUUUAUGUAAUAAAGGGAUGAGGCUAGAAUAGUGAUAUAUAAGGUCCCUUCCAGCACUAAUAUCCUGAGUCAAAGUAACAGUCAAAGUUGUAUAAAUGGGUUUUGUUGUUGUUGUUUUUAAUAAAUGGGUUUUAAUAAUACUACCUUUAUAUGGGGCUAUAUGGUGUCUGAGAAGUUAAAAGAAGGAAUAUAUGCAGGAGCACCUUGUGAAGGAUAAAAUAUCAUGCAGUGUUCCUGCAAGGGCUGGUGUGGGAACAAGCAGUGCGGGUGCAGGAGACAGAAGUUGGACUGUGGCGUGGACUGCAGCUGUGACCCCACAAAGUGUAGGAACCGUCA